rnacentral:lncRNA from 1 species
UGAUGCCAACGUUCUACACAUGCAUCCCUAAGCCAGAGCGAGAGAGAGAGAGAGACAGCAGCUGACUUGCCUAAUUCGUUUACCCAGUGAGAGGACACGUGGAAAUUUUCAAUAUCUACAAUCUUCCUUCUACUUCAAUUUCUAAAAAUAAUCUUGAGUUUUUUUCUUGAAGAAGAAAAUAGCAUGGAAUGAAGAAAGGCAGACAAGAAGGCGUAGCUGAACCUCAGAGGGGUUAUUGACCGGCCUACUCCUGUGACGUCCACCUAAAAUGGGAACAUGCUAC